GAACAAGGGGAAUCCAACUGUUUAAUUAAAACAAAGCAUUCCGAUGGUCAUUGCAUAUGCUGACGCAAUGUGAUUCAUGCCCAUUGCUCUGCAUGUCAAAGUGAAGAAAUUCAAACCAAGCACAGGUAAAUGACGAGAUUAACUAUGACUCUCUUAAGGUAGCCA
rnacentral:ncRNA from 1 species